rnacentral:ncRNA from 1 species
GCGUAAGGACGACCUUGCGUCUCAUCUUCAAACGGGGACGGCCCC